rnacentral:rRNA from 1 species
UUUGAAUAAGCCACGGCUAACUACGUGCCAGCAGCGCGGUAAUACGUAGUGGCAAGCGAUAACUCGGAAUCACUAGGCGUAAAGCGCAGGUAGGCGGUUUGGUAAGUCUUUUUGUGAAAGCUCCUGGCUUAACUGGGAGAGGUCAAGGGAAACUACCGGACUAGAGUGUGGUAGGGGAUACUGGAAUUCUGGUGUAGCGGUGAAAUGCGUAGAUAUCAGGAGGAAUACCUAUGGCGAAAGCAGGUAUCUGGGCCAUCACUGACGCUGAGCUGCGAAAGCUAGGGGAGCAAACAGGAUUAGAUACCCUGGUAGUCCUAGCCCUAAACGAUGCUCAUUAGAUGUGGGAGGUAUCGACCCCUUCCGCGUCGCAGCUAACGCAUUAAAUGAGCCGCCUGGGGAGUACGGCCGCAAGGUUGAAACUCAAAGGAAUUGACGGGGGCCCGCACAAGCGGUGGAACAUGUGGUUUAAUUCGACGCAACGCGAAGAACCUUACCCGGGCUUGAACUACGGAUGGUAAGUCCCUAGAAACAGGGGCUGACCCGCAAGGGAGUCCGCAGAGGUGCUGCAUGGUUGUCGUCAGCUCGUGUCGUGAGAUGUUGGGUUAAGUCCCGCAACGAGCGCAACCCCUACUCGAUGUUGCUAAUCCCGCAAGGGAUGCACUCUUCGAGAACUGCCUUCGAUAAGAAGGAGGAAGGUGGGGACGACGUCAAAUCCUCAUGGCCCUUAUGUCCGGGGCUACACACGUGUUACAAUGGCCGGUACAAUGGGAAGCAAUACCGCAAGGUGGAGCCAAACCCACAAAGCCGGCCCCAGUUCAGAUUGUGGGCUGCAACUCGCCCACAUGAAGGCGGAAUCGCUAGUAAUCGCUGAUCAGCAGGCAGCGGUGAAUACGUUCCCGGGCCUUGUACACACCGCCCGUCACACCACGAAAGCCCGCUGCAACAGAAGUCAGUGCUCCAACCCGCAAGGGGGGAAACUGCCAAAGUU